GAGGCUUUGAGUAUAUGACGCCAGUUGUAUAUGAGCCAUUGUUGAGAUACCACUCUUUCUUAUUUGGGUAGCUAACCAGCUUGAGUUAUCCUCAAGUGGGACAAUGUCUGGUGGGUAGUUUGACUGGGGCGGUCGCCUCCCAAAUAAUAACGGAGGCUUACAAAGGUUGGCUCAGAACGGUUGGAAAUCGUUCGUAGAGUAUAAAGGUAUAAGCCAGCUUAACUGCAAGACAUACAAGUCAAGCAGAGACGAAAGUCGGUCUUAGUGAUCCGGUGGUUCUGUGUGGAAGGGCCAUCGCUCAAAGGAUAAAAGGUACCCCGGGGAUAACAGGCUGAUCUCCCCCAAGAGCUCACAUCGACGGGGAGGUUUGGCACCUCGAUGUCGGCUCAUCGCAUCCUGGGGCUGGAGCAGGUCCCAAGGGUAUGGCUGUUCGCCAUUUAAAGCGGUACGCGAGCUGGGUUCAGAACGUCGUGAGACAGUUCGG
rnacentral:rRNA from 1 species